rnacentral:lncRNA from 1 species
GACUUAGUACCUGUUGAACAUUGGUAGCUAUGGACUUAGUACCUAUUAGAUAAAGACUGGUAGCUAUGGAUUUAGUACCCGAUGAAUAGACUAUAGCAGCUAUGGAAUUAGUGCUUUAUGAACGAACAUUGGCAGCUAUGGAUUUAGUGCCAGUCCCAUAACCCUGGAAGUAAGGGACUUCGGAAUAAACGAAUGCAGGAUAGAUGACUCUUAGGUUAAAUCCUUAAAGAGUAAAGAAGAUAAUGGGGAUGGGUAAUUGGGUUGAUUGUUUGAUUGAACAUAAUAAUUAUAUUAUUGUGGGUUGAAAACCCUAUGUACUCACCAGGUUUCCCAACCUGACCCACUCAGUUUAUGUAUAUCACAGGUGACGAAGUGAAGUGACAUUACACUGAGAGAUUUAAAAGAGAUGUAGAUCACUAGUGUAAAUCAUUGUAAUUCUGUUUAUGCUUAUGUUUCGGUAUUAACGAUGACAUCCCAAACAUUUUAAAAUGAAAUAAAUACGUUUCUUCGAAAAUGUUUUAAUAACGUAUUUACCAUGUUUUUCUGGGAACAAAUUCCGCAACCUUUUUAUAAAAUGAAGUACUCUGAUUUUUAUAAAGCAUAAACAAAAUCGGUCUUUUCUGGCCGUGAUUUUGGGGAUGUCACAGUUGGUAUCAGAGCAUUAGUUUAAGCGAACUAGGAAUAUGGAUUUAUUUCUAGACUUAAACUUAGAAUGCUAAGCGAUGAUUGUGAGGUGUGAGCACUAGCUUAUUUUAGGAAUUGUGCCUAAAAUGCUUUUAUGUGCUAAAUGCUUUGUGCAUGAUAUGUUGUUAAUUGUUCGGAUCUAUGGUCUGUUGCCGACCGGAUCUGGAAACCUUAUGUGUUUAGGAUUCUAAACGUACGACUACGGUAUUAGAACUAGCAUGUAAAUGUUUCGGAGUGAUAAGGAUGAUUUAAACGUCAAGUAAAGGUCUAAAUUCACCUUAUUCGGUGUAUAGAUCGAGAUGGUAAGGACCCGUAGCGGAAACGUAAACGCAAAUGGGAACAGGAACCAACCCCCAGUGGUUCAGCAAAUACCUGUUGUAGAAGAAGUUGCGCCUGAGCCAGUCACCAUGGCUGGAGUUCAAGCCAUGAUUCGGGCUAUGUUGGCUGAACAAAGGGAAGAAAUGAGACGGAUGUUGAAUAGGGACGAACCUACUAUGCCCAUUGAGCAACCCGAACUGAUUCCCGAGCAAUCUGAGGAAGGGAACUACAGCCGCCAAGUGAGUCAAGUUGGGACUCAAGGUGAGCAAAGGGAUGGCCCAGAAGGGAGAAACAACAAGGAUGGGCGGAUGUACAAGAACUUCUUGGGUGCGAAACCACCAAGCCUCUCAGGAAGCCCAAAGCCGGUUGAGGUUAUGGAUUGGAUCUCUGAGAUGGAGAUGGUGUUUGAGAGCUGCAGCUGUAAUGAGAAACAGAAGACUGUCUUUGCAGUAAGACAGCUGAAAACUGGAGUCUUGAGCUGGUGGAAGCUAUUGGCAGAUACGAUGCCACGAGGAGAAGCCUUAAGGAUGUCGUGGGAAGAGUUUUUGGAACAGUUGAAAAUGCAGUACUGCUCGGAGGUAGAUCUGAUAGACCUAAACAACGAGUUUCAGAACCUGAAGAAAGGGAAGAUGAGUGUUGAUGAGUAUGCCACCGCAUUUACCGAGAGGAUGAAGCUAUUUCCCUACUUGGUGCCUACUGAACUCUCCAAGAUUGAUAGGUUUGCUAACGGACUGCCCACUGACUUUGGUCCAAUGGUCAAAAUGGCAACUACCUUAAAAGCAGCUAUUAGGGCAGCUAAGAACGUAGAGGCCCAGAUAAGAGAAAAGGGUCUAGAAAAAGAUAAGGCAGGAGAGAAGCGAAAGUUUGAGGGAUCUUCGAGGUCGAACAAGGAAAGCAAAUUCUCAAAACUCGGAGGAGCAGAUGGAGGUGAAACAAGAUGGUGUGAUAAAUGCAAGAAGAAGCAUGGUGGGAAGUGCAACGAAGAAGUGACUUGUUACAAGUGUGGGAGGACGGGUCACUAUUCCAAAGACUGCACACAUAAUGACAAAGUAUGCUACGGAUGUGGAGGCAAGGGGCACAUGUCCAGAGACUGCCCAAGGAAAAAUAAAGCAGCAAGACCAGAAACGCCACCAAGGCCAAGGGCAUUUCACAUGAUCCUCGACGAAGCAGAGAACCAUGCGAGGAAUCAAGAAUGAGGACUUCUUACCCGAAGAUCGGAUUAUGCAGUAGCCAUAGUUUCGUAUGAUGUAGCCUAGUAGAGGCAUAGUCUAGGGUGAACUUGAACACCUAUGUAAUCGUUUCAAGAAUUAAUAUAAAACCUUCGUUUUGUUAUCUGAUGUGUCGAAUGAUUGUGUGAUUUGCUGCAUGGUGACUUGGGAAACUGCGAGACAAUACUUGGGACGAGUAUGAGUAGGUGUGAAUGGUAGUAGAGGCCUAUACUACCGGAAGCACAGGACUCACACUUGGAUCAGGGAAAGUCACAAGGUUACCAAGAAGCUAGUAAUUGAUUUCGUUUUAUUCAAGUGUGUUGUUACCAUCGUUUCGGUAAUGACUAAGAAGAUUGUUGAUAUUCCGACCCUAGUGGUCAUAUCGAAUCGAGUCCGACUACGAUGAGUAUGUUGUGUGGUUCAGAGAACCAAGUUUGAUGUAGCGUCCGACUUAAACCAAACGGUUGAAAUCAAAGCGAUCAAUAGAAGUAUCGCACUCGUUGUUAAAGAAGUUGGUGGCUAGAAAUGCCUAAUGUUAAAGUGUGAUUAUAUCACAUUAGAACAUGAAGGAAGGCAUAGUCUGUUUUAGAAUUUAACUCUAAGAGACCUAAGUCUAAGUGUUGCAACAUACGAUGAUAGGUCAUUAGAAUAUGACACAUCGAUCUAUAGUAGUAAUAAAAGAACUUAUCUCAAGUCCGUAUCCAGCAAGGAUCGAGAUUGUGACUUGAAGGUCAUAAUUUGGAGUCUAACCUGAGGUAGAGAGCAGGUGCACGAUCGAGUACUCUUACAGUCAAUGAGUUUAAGAGAUAGAAUCGAAGGAAUGUAGAAGUUAUAAUUAUUACCUAGGAUGAAGAGAUGACGUAUGGAGUCAUUAUACGACCCUGUUUCGUUGAUGAUUCCGGGACGUAAUCAUCCUAAGGGGGAGAUAAUUGUAACGCCCGCAAAUCUGGGCUAGUCAAAUUAGAGGCAAUAGGGGUCGAAAACGACUUUUCGACAAAAGAUUAUUUAGAAUAAAUAAUCUUAACCAAGUUGUAGAGUAUGUUACAAGGUUUUCGUACAUAUAAAGAACGCCGAAAACCGAGUUAUAACGAAGAAGUUAUGACCCGUUGAAGUUUCGCGACGGAACCGGCACGAUACCGGGAAGCGUAAAUAGUGAAUUUACGAUAGAGCGAGAUUUAGCCUUAGCGAUCUAAACGAAAGUCGUAGAAUAUGUUAAACUAAGAACAUCGAUAAAAAGAACGCCCAAAUCUGACUUCGUAUGAGGAAGUUAUGAUUUUUCUAAGAUUUAGCAUAGCAGUGCACAGCCCGAAAUCUGAAUUUUAGAUCGGUCGAUUUUUAGCCGACGGGAUCUAAAUGAAAGUUGUAGUACUCGUAAAUACCAACGCGUGGAUAUAAAGAACGUCGAUAAUAGAGCUCGUAUGCAAAAGUUAUGGACGAAGCUUAGUCCCUACUUUUCGAGCGCGGCGAAUUCGAUACAGUUUUGUAAAUACGAGAUAGAAUGAGAAUUAGCCAACGAGGUCUAAAUGAGAGUUGAAGAUCUCAUUAAUAGGAACUCAACGGUAAAAAGACAGACAAAAAUGGAGCUCGUAUGCGAAAGUUAUGGACGAAGCUUAGUCCCUACUUUUCGAGCGCGGCGAAUUUGAUACAGUUUUGUAAAUCCGAGAUAGAAUGAGAAUUAGCCAACGAGGUCUAAAUGAAAGUUGAAGAUCUCAUUAAUAGGAACUCAACAGUAAAAAGACAGACAAAAACGGAGCUCGUAUGCAAAAGUUACGGACGAAGCUUGGAGACUACUUUACUAUACACUUCCUAUAAAUACAAGGGUGAACUCCUCAUAUUUUCUUCACACCAUAAGCCUUUCUUUCUCUCUCUAACUUCUCUCUAGCCUCCCUAAACCCCUCCCAAGUCUAGGGAACCUCCCUAUCACGAGAAGAAAGCCCCGGAGCGCCCGACGGCUCCGAGAAGAAAAGCUUUCGGCUCGGAAACGCUGCUCCAGCGAAGCCCGGUUUUUAAUAAAAACCCGCUGUAAGUGAGCUACGCCUAUAGUAUAUUUAAUAUAGAUUUUAUUUAAUUAUAGUAACAUUGUUAGGACCUUAAAAUAAUUAUUUAGGCUAUUAUUAUGAGUUAUAUUGAGUGUUAUUUAACGCUUAUAUAAUAGUAAUAAUAGCUAGACUAUUAAAUUAGUCUCGUCAAGCGUUAGACUAAACUCUAGUGGUAAUGAUACUAGGUUUCGUCAAGGGAUAAUUGUUUUAAGAGUAACGAAGUGCUGUCCGAGUGCCGACUCACCACCUUUCAGGUGAGUGCAUAGUCCCUUUCAUCUUACACAUAGAUAUGAAGUAUUUUAUAUAAACUACGUGCUAUGUGUGCACAUUAUCUGAAUACUUGCUGUCUAUGCUGGUUGAACGUUUUAUACAUGUUUUAAAGGACUUAAACUGUAUACGUAUUUUAUAUAUACGAAAAUGUUGGGUAUGAGAUGGGUAGAUGAAUGAUGAGAGAUAGAAGAUGACGUGAGUAUACAUUGGCAGCUAUAGACUUAGUGCCUAUGGGACAAACACCGGUAGCUAUGGACUUAGUACCUUUUAGACGUUGGUAGCUAUGGAUUUAGUACCUGUUGGGAAUUGGUAGCUAUGGACUUAGUACCUAUUAGUUAGACGCUGGUAGCUAAGGAUUUAGUACCUGUAGGAAUUGGUAGCUAUGGACUUAGUACCUGUUGAACAUUGGUAGCUAUGGACUUAGUACCUAUUAGAUAAAGACUGGUAGCUAUGGAUUUAGUACCCGAUGAAUAGACUAUAGCAGCUAUGGAAUUAGUGCUUUAUGAACGAACAUUGGCAGCUAUGGAUUUAGUGCCAGUCCCAUAACCCUAGAAGUAAGGGACUUCGGAAUAAACGAAUGCAGGAUAGAUGACUCUUAGGUUAAAUCCUUAAAGAGUAAAGAAGAUAAUGGGGAUGAGUAAUUGGGUUGAUUGUUUGAUUGAACAUAAUAAUUAUAUUAUUGUGGGUUGAAAACCUAUGUACUCACCAGGUUUCCCAACCUGACCCACUCAGUUUAUGUAUAUCACAGGUGACGAAGUGAAGUGACAUUACACUGAGAGAUUUAAAAGAGAUGUAGAUCACUAGUGUAAAUCAUUGUAAGUUCUGUUUAUGCUUAUGUUUCGGUAUUAACGAUGACAUCCCAA